rnacentral:tRNA from 1 species
UCCCUGGUGGUCUAGUGGUUUGGACUCGGCACUUUCAUUGCCAUGGCCCAGGUUCGAUCCCUGGUGGGAG